CCCUACGGGGCGCAGCAGGCGCGAAAACUCUACAAUGCAGGCAACUGCGAUAGGGGAACAUCGAGUGAUCCUCAUAUUGGGGGUCUGUCCACCCGCCUAAAUAGCGGGUGUUAGCAAGGGCCGGGCAAGACCGGUGCCAGCCGCCGCGGUAACACCGGCGGCUCGAGUGGUAACCGUUAUUAUUGGGUCUAAAGGGUCUGUAGCCGGCCGGAUAAGUCUCUUGGGAAAUCCAGCAGCUCAACUGUUGGGCUUUCAGGAGAUACUGUCUGGCUCGAGGCCGGGAGAGGUGAGAGGCACUUCAGGGGUAGGGGUGAAAUCUUGUAAUCC
rnacentral:rRNA from 1 species